AUGAGGCAGGCACGGGGCGGGGCUUGCCGGAGAGGCGAGCGCGAGGCGGCGGCGCUUGCAAGGGCCGGGCGGCGGAACUGCAAGCGCUGGGCGGCAGCACUGCGAGCGUCGGGCGGCGGAACUGCAUGCGCAGGCGGCGGCGAGGCCGACGCGGUCGGAGCAGGAGGGACGGGCGCGCUAGGAGCGGCGGCGGCAGCCAGGUCGGCGACCGGAUCGAGCAGGGGAUGGCAGGGCAAGGCGAGCUCCACCUCUGGCUCGCCGACCAUGGCGCUUGAACGGCGGACUAGGAGGGAUGGCGGCGCGACGCGACCAGGAGAUGGACGGUGUUCAGAGGAGGGUGCGGCGGCGGCGGCGCGAUGCGACCAGGAAGUGGAGGAGAGAGAGAUGAGGUAG
rnacentral:rRNA from 1 species